UAGUGACCUAGUAUUUCUUCAAGUUGUUUUGUUGGCUCUAUCUGAGAAAGUUAACUGGAUUGAAUUUCUAGUUUUUGUUAAAAAGGGGUUUCAAUUCACCAUCACUAGCCAUAUGAUGUCAACGAGACAAAGGCAAUCAGAUUAAGGGAAUCUUGAUGUUGCAGCCAGUUUUAAUUUGUGUACCAUUCACGGCAGUGAGGAGCAAAGGGACACAGGAAGAAUGUGUUCAACAGAGUUUUGGAAAGUUGAGUUUGUUGCAACCACAUUGUUUUCUAAAUCUAUAUUCUUUGUGUAUAUGAAGCUUCACAGAGGGAUCAGGUGAAUAAACCUUAGACUAAUCCAGAGUUUGACUAGGGGUAGCCCAAAGAAGGAGUGUGUGAUGGUGGUAGUGGUAGUGGUGGUGGUGGUAAUGGUGCACAGAAAACUGCCAAUUUGGGGAUUUGUGUGGGUGUCUACAUUUGCUUAACCAUUCACACUGGAUGGCCUAACAUUAUCCCUAUUGAAUUCUUUAAAUUGAUUUGUUGGAUUAGUUUUAUAGCAGAUCAUAAUACAUUAUUUUAUGAAGGACACGGGUUACAAGUAUUUUCUACAUUGUUAUAGUGAUAUUCCACAAUUGCACUACACAGUAUUUCAAUUCCAGUAUGAUCUAUGAAUUCUAUUCUUGGAAUGUUGCUUGGAAUUAAACAUCAACUAAGUUCAAAAGUAAUUAUUUUUUAUUUCAACUCUAUAAAGUAUACAACAGGCACUCGGCAAUUACAGCUGCAGGAAAAAUACAGAGCAAAUCAAAGCAGGUUAAGUUUAUGAAAAAGUUUUUAAUCUACAUCAAAAGAGUGCAAGUGGUCAAUGACCAUUUGAUGACAGUUGUUGCAUUCUGACUAACAAAGGACUCUUUCAUGUAGAACAAAUUGUAAGAGGACAAUCAAAUAACCAUAGCUGUAAGAAUACAAAAGAACUGACCAAUUGUAAAAACAUCAUACAUUGAAAUAAAUUUGAUAGAUGAUGCUUAAAGAAAUGUCCCUUUACUCAGAAAGCCCAAACCUCUGAGUCAUCGUCAAGGUCCCAGAGCUCUGUUGACGCAGGGGCAGAUAGAGAAGAGGACUAACAACACACUUUCAAUGUUUAGCUUUCUAGGUCUGUUGAAAAUUUGCCUCAUCCACGAUUUGCAUAUACAAGAACUCAGAGAAAGCAUCCUGUUUUGUUGAGUGCUGCACCAAGAUUCUUUUUCAUCAUUGGUUUCAUAACAAGGUGUAGUUAGCAGUCACUUUCUAAUUUUUCUUUUCAGUUGGACCAUUGUUAAUGGAGUCAAUAAAAUGAGAUAUGUUAGAACUUGACUGCACUAAUAUUUAAACUGAAUCUGCACAGCUUAGCAAAACAGGAAUACCUGUAUACAGACUGAUAGUAUGUCAUAUAUUAAUUUGACCUGCACGUACAUUUAUACAUUUCACAGAAAUGACGCUGUAUCUCAUUAACAGAUACACAGCUCUGGUACAUUUAACAGAAAUAAGAGAACAACUUCAUCAUUUCUGUAAUUCAUCAAUAUUAUAUAAUAAAGGCUUAUAAAUUGUUAGCAGAAAGAACUGUAAAACGCAGCAAGCUAAGAAAGGACAACAUUUUGAGGUGUGUUUGUCUUUGUCAUGCAGCAUAACACCAAAUUUGUUUUUUAAUAGGAUGCCAUGAAUUUAAGGCACUUGCAACAAUGCCAGAUAGCCGGGUCAUGUUCUAAACUAUGGGACAGAUGAAAAACAGUACAGUUGACAUAAUUUCAAUAAUACUGACAAUUAUGACAUUAAUUCAAAAAUAAAAUGAAAUAAUAAUGCUGUGAAACACUAAAAAAAGUUAUAAGUACCACAAAAUAUCACACAAAAAUAUCUAUUUAC
ensembl:lncRNA